rnacentral:rRNA from 1 species
GAUGAACGCUGGCGGCGUGCCUAAUACAUGCAAGUCGAGCGAACGGACGAGAAGCUUGCUUUUCUGAUGUUAGCGGCGGACGGGUGAGUAACACGUGGAUAACCUACCUAUAAGACUGGGAUAACUUCGGGAAACCGGAGCUAAUACCGGAUAAUAUUUUGAACCGCAUGGUUCAAAAGUGAAAGACGGUCUUGCUGUCACUUAUAGAUGGAUCCGCGCUGCAUUAGCUAGUUGGUAAGGUAACGGCUUACCAAGGCAACGAUGCAUAGCCGACCUGAGAGGGUGAUCGGCCACACUGGAACUGAGACACGGUCCAGACUCCUACGGGAGGCAGCAGUAGGGAAUCUUCCGCAGUGGGCGAAAGCCUGACGGAGCAACGCCGCGUGAGUGAUGAAGGUCUUCGGAUCGUAAAACUCUGUUAUUAGGGAAGAACAUAUGUGUAAGUAACUGUGCACAUCUUGACGGUACCUAAGCAGAAAGCCACGGCUAACUACGU